rnacentral:rRNA from 1 species
CGCCUGACAGUUCAUGAGGUUUUGGCCCUCUCAAAAGCCAAUAACCCCAAGCUAAUUUUCCUUUGUGAAACUAGGCAAGCAUCAGUGAAAGUGGAGAAGUUGCGUUGGAGACUUGGUCUAAAAGGAUUUCAUGGAGUGAAUAGCGAUGGUAGAAGUGGUGGAUCAGCACUCUUUUGGGAUGAGUCUUUGUCUGUUACGGUUCUUGAAUCUUGCAAUCGAUUUAUUAAUGUUAGUGUGGUUGAUGGUGGCUCGGGCACGUCUUGA